AGAGCUGCUCUGGUUUACAGACUUGCUGUUAAAUAUUUAACUCCGGUCCUGCUGAUCUCUGGAGGACAGGUACAGACAGCACUAGCUCAUGCACGAGUCAUUCAAGGGAGGUAGGCAUUUUCUCAAAGCAACUCCCUCUCCAGGCAUUUUAGGGAAGAAGGAAAACAGUCUUGGCUCACUCACACUUCUCUCUGUUGGAGGCUCCUUCCUAACGAGGCACAUUUGGGGCUUGCUUCUGGGAUAUGCAUUUUUAAAGUUCUCAGCAGUCAGCCUGAUUGCUGCUCUCCUCACCCCAGCAGUGCCAGAGAUGCAGUCAGUGGCAGAUGUGACACAAGGUGCAGAGUACUGCCCUUGCACUGGGACCAACCUGCUGUAAGGCUUCAUCUGGGCCAGAGCCUGGUCCUCCAGCUGAUCACUGUUGGAUGCAGCACUCAAGGGGCGAUGGUUUUCAUCACUAGCAGCAAAAAAUGAGGCUCUCUGGACUGGAAAGGAGAGAAGAAACCAUUUAGUAUUUUGGAACCACAUCCCUGGCCCUAUCUAUCAAAGUCAACAAGUGGUCUAGUUGGCAGUCAUGUCUAGUAUUUCCAGUGCAGGAUGCACUGGAAAUCUUAUUUCCCAACCCUCACAGGGAAAAAUAUGACUGUUUUAGCUAUAAGAGGAUUGUAGCCAUGUAAUUUCCCUUUAAGAAACAUUUGUGAGUCAAUUUCUAGUCCCCCCUCUUCCCUGCUCAUCACUGUAGCAUUCUAUGAAAUGUUUCUCUGGAAACAGUCCUUGUGCCAAAUUUCCAGACCAAGGCUUUCCACUCAGCAAUGAAAUAAAUGCGUUCGAGAGC
ensembl:lncRNA novel transcript, antisense to SIPA1L1